AUCAAUUUGAGGGUGAUUUGUUAUGUAAACAAACACAAAAUAGUAAUGGCGGUCAAGAUGGCGGUUCAAUUAUUUGCCCAAAAUAGCCACGCUAAAUUUCUAGGAUUUCUUCGCAAUCGGCUUUCAGUUUAAGUUGGGGCUUCAUUAAAUAAUUGUUAAAUGUUCAUUGUUAUAAUUAUAAAUUGUUUACACGAAAUAUUUUAUGAAUAAUUUAAUAAAUUUUAAUAAAAUCACGUGACUCCAGCGAAGUCUACGAUUGGUCAGUGGAGAGCGCGGACAUUUCUGAGACGUUUUGAAAAUUUGCCGAGAUGAAAGCCUCAAAAAGAAAUCGGAGAAUUAUAGUUCGCAAAAUUCUUGUCCCCUGUAGUCAUUCUAAACUUGGGGGAAAUGCAUAAAGACUAUAACUCUGUCAAAUUGAAGGGAAUGGCAUGAAAGAAGGAAUUGCGUGGUACAUUCAAAUGGAGGAUCAAUUUUUAUAAGGAGUCCGGAUGAAAAUCGCAACUGUACAGAAAUGAGUAUUUACCCUGGUAAAAGGUCUAUUACUGUGCAGAAAAUUCUGUGGUGCCAAUUGGGUAAAAACUCUAUGAAAGUAAUGAAGAUUACAUGAAUUGCACAUGCAGCAAGUGAAUAAUGUGUGGCCAAAAAAAAGGACAUGAAAUGGAGUAUACUUUCAAUACCUUC